rnacentral:rRNA from 1 species
UAGCGAGGGGGGCAAGCGUUGUUCGGAAUUAUUGGGCGUAAAGGGUGCGUAGGCGGUUUGGUAAGUCUUAUGUGAAAUCUACAGGCUCAACUUGUAGUCUGCAUGAGAAACUGCCGGGCUUGAGUAUGGGAGAGGUGAGUGGAAUUCCUGGUGUAGCGGUGAAAUGCGUAGAUAUCAGGAGGAACACCGGCGGUGUAGACGGCUUUCUGGACCGUAGCUGACGCUGAGACACGAAAGCGUGGGUAGCAAACAGG